rnacentral:rRNA from 1 species
GACGAACGCUGGCGGCGUGCUUAACACAUGCAAGUCGAGCGGUAAGGCCCUUUCGGGGGUACACGAGCGGCGAACGGGUGAGUAACACGUGGGUGACCUGCCCUUAGCUCUGGGAUAAGCCUGGGAAACUGGGUCUAAUACCGGAUAUGACUCCAUGACGCAUGUUGUGGGGUGGGAAAGCCUUGUGCGGCUAGGGAUGGGCCCGCGGCCUAUCAGCUUGUUGGUGGGGUGAUGGCCUACCAAGGCGACGACGGGUAGCCGGCCUGAGAGGGCGACCGGCCACACUGGGACUGAGACACGGCCCAGACUCCUACGGGAGGCAGCAGUGGGGAAUCUUGCGCAAUGGGCGAAAGCCUGACGCAGCGACGCCGCGUGAGGGAUGACGGCCUGG